rnacentral:rRNA from 1 species
CCUACGAGAGGCUGCAGUGGGGAAUAUUGGACAAUGGGGGGAACCCUGAUCCAGCCAUGCCGCGUGUGUGAAGAAGGCCCUCGGGUUGUAAAGCACUUUCAGUGAGGAAGAACGCCUGGUGGUUAAUACCCAUCAGGAAAGACAUCACUCACAGAAGAAGCACCGGCUAACUCCGUGCCAGCAGCCGCGGUAAUACGGAGGGUGCGAGCGUUAAUCGGAAUUACUGGGCGUAAAGCGCGCGUAGGUGGCUUGAUAAGCCGGUUGUGAAAGCCCCGGGCUCAACCUGGGAACGGCAUCCGGAACUGUCAAGCUAGAGUGCAGGAGAGGAAGGUAGAAUUCCCGGUGUAGCGGUGAAAUGCGUAGAGAUCGGGAGGAAUACCAGUGGCGAAGGCGGCCUUCUGGACUGACACUGACACUGAGGUGCGAAAGCGUGGGUAGCAAACAGGAUUAGAUACCCCUGUAGUC